rnacentral:rRNA from 1 species
AUUGAACGCUGGCGGCAUGCCUUACACAUGCAAGUCGAACGGUAACGCGGGGGGCAACCCUGGCGACGAGUGGCGAACGGGUGAGUAAUACAUCGGAACGUACCCAGUAGUGGGGGAUAGCUCGGCGAAGGCCGGAUUAAUACCGCAUACGACCUAUGGGUGAAAGCGGGGGAUCGCAAGACCUCGCGCUAUUGGAGCGGCCGAUGUCGGAUUAGCUAGUUGGUGAGGUAAAAGCNCACCAAGGCUACGAUCCGUAGCUGGUCUGAGAGGACGACCAGCCACACUGGGACUGAGACACGGCCCAGACUCCUACGGGAGGCAGCAGUGGGGAAUUUUGGACAAUGGGCGAAAGCCUGAUCCAGCCAUGCCGCGUGUGUGAAGAAGGCCCUCGGGUUGUAAAGCACUUUUGUCCGGAACGAAACGGCGAAGGCGAAUAACUUUCGUUAAU